rnacentral:lncRNA from 1 species
GGCUUCCCCACUGUUAUCCAUAAACUCCCACUGUACCUUUGAAAAUACUGGACCUUGAUCCCUACUAUAUGUUUAGUUGUCACUUCAACUCCUGUGUGGACUGGGAAGAAUCUAUCUUAGUUAGGGCUUCCAUUGCUGGGAAGAGACACCAUGACCAAAGAAACUCUUAUACAGGACAUUUAAUUGAGGCUGGCUUACAGGUUCAGAGGUUCAGUCCAUUAUCAUCAAGGCAGGAAGAAUGGCAGCAUUCAGGUAGGUAUGGCACAGAAGGAGCUGAAAGUUGUACAUCUUCACCCAAAGGAAGCCAGGAACAGAGUGUCCCAUGAGCACCUAGGAGGAGGGUCUCAAAGCCCACCCUCAUAGUGAUUCACUUCCUCCAACAAGGCCACACCUUCUAAUAGUGCCAUUCCCUGGGCCAAGUAUAUUCAAACCACUACAGCAUCAUAACUAAUAGCCUGCCUCACUUUAUGAAACAACUGGACAGAAGUUAUACAUACAGGGCUGGUGGAGGAUAGCUCAAUGGUAGAACACUUAUUUAGCAUAUACAAAGCCCUGGGAGGGGAGGAAUGAGAUGUGUUCUCCAUUAGAGUAGUGUUUGUGGGUGAUGCCUUUUGUCUUCAAUUUUGCAGAAUCCAUAAUUUCCUGAUCAGAGGCCCCAUCACUGAAUUGAGAUUGUUUUUCAUGUGUAACACAGAUUUCUUCCGCUGUUUAUAUUCCUUCCUCAGAUCUCAAAAUUUAUUUGUAUGUGUAUUGAGUUUACUUAAUUCUAUAAUGUACAAAUACUUAACUAAAGAGGGCAGAAAAUGGCCUGAGCUUUCGUAGUUCUAAUCCACAGGUUCUUCACACCUCUGGCACAGAAGAGUGAAGAUUUUAUAUCCAUUUCCAGUUCCUGAUGACCUCAUACCUUGCCAAGUAUGGCUUUUCUUCUGAAGUUUUAAAUAUGUUACUAGUCCCUGUGUCCCCUAAAUGCUGUUGAAGCUAUCCAAGCAGGGUGGUCGCUACCUCCACUGAACCUGCAUUUCCCAUGCCACCUUGUGGAAGAAACAGUGAAGUGAAGAUGGAUCUCCUUGAAUCAGCAACAUUCAGACAUUCUUCCCCCAAGCCUUUCUUAGUCCGUUUCUCUCUGGGCCUGCAAUCUUCUCUUUCUAUUUAUAGAACAUUUGUCACACAGUAUUAUACCACAAGCUCUUGAGUGGUCCAGACCACUUCACUAAUCUCAAUUUCUUCAACAAUGUCUAUGGCAAUUUAGAUCCAUCAAAUUAUUAUUUGUUACGUAACAGAUAGAGAAUGAAUGAAGAAUGUCAGGAAUUACAAUGUAGUAUGUACUCACUACACAAUAUUAUUCAACUCUAAAGAAAUAUUAAAUCAGCAAUUUUGCAGGUAAAUGGAUAGAACUACAAAAGAUCCUAUUGAGUGGGGUAACUCAGACCUAGUUACAGAUCUUCGGAUGUGAGCACAUAGCCUGGGGUAACUACAUAAAUGGGGGAAGCGAAAAGAGAGCAUUGUGGGUGCUGAGGAACAAUAAAGGGGGAAAUGGAAGGAAAAUGACAAAAAGGUGGUAAGUCUAUUAAAAGAGGGAGAGAUAUAAAAACAAAAGGAGGAGGAAAGAAGGUAAAAUAAAUCAUAAGGCAUCACAGUUUAACUCAUCUACUUUAUAGUGAGAAAUACUACAUGUAAGUCUGUGUAUAAAUAUUCAUUUAUAGUUCAAAUACAAUUUUCUCAUCAGUCUGACAAUGCCUCUUCUGAGAGCCAAAGACCACCUAACAAAUACGCCAAAAUCAGGCAUGAGAAGUCUUCUUUUGAGUUGAUCAGAGGUGUCCAAGAGACUCCAUAAACACUGUAGACUAUUGGUACUGUCCUUGGUUGUAGAAGGUAAAUAUCUGUAGUGAAAGACAUCAUGCAAGUCAGACACACAGCCCAGAGGCCCCUAAAUUGGAACUGACCUGAAUGACUACCCACUGAAAACAAGCUUUCAUUGUCAUGAUAAGACGUCAUGCAACAGUCUGCACGGGUGAGAGUGUGGACUAGAGAAGCUACACAGCUUCUGGGACAGGCAGAAGUGACACAGCUUCUGGGACAGGCCCUGUUUCAGGACUUCAUCUUCAGUCAGUAGGCAGGUCCAAAUGCCAGAUAUCUGUGCACCUUACCUGCAAGAAGAGAGCUUGCCUGCAGAGAGUACUCUGAUCACUGAAACUCAGGAGAGAGCUAGCUACACUCCCAGGUCUGCUGGCAGAGGCUAACAGAAUCCCAGAAGGAACAAGUUCCAACCAGAGACAACUAUACCAACUAACUCCAGAGAAUACCUGAUGGCAAAGGCAAAUCUAAAAUCCUUACUAACAGAAACCAACACCACUCACCAUCAUCAGAAACAAGCACUCCCACCUCAGCCAGUCCUGGAUACCACAACACGACCGAAAUGCAAGACUCAGAUUUAAAAUCAUAUCUCUUGAUUAUGGCAGAGGACAUCAAGAAAGACUUUAAUAACUCACUUAAAGAAAUACAGGAGAACACUGCUAAAGAGGUAGAAGUCCUUAAAGAAAAACAGGAAAACACAUCCAAACAGGUGAUAGAAUUGAACAAAACUGUACAAGACCUAAAAAGGUAAGUGGACACAAUAAAAAAAAAUAACCCAAUGUGAGACAAUGCUGGAGAUAGAAACUCUAGG